rnacentral:lncRNA from 1 species
UGUGGGCUGGGGUGGUUCUGACUGUGUGAUGGUAUUUAGUGUGUGCUGGGGUGGUCUGUGUGGUGGUGGUUAUUUAGUGUGGGCUGGGGUGGUUCUGACGUGUGUGGUUUUAGUGUGGGGCUGGUCUGGUUCUGUGUGCGUAGUAUAUUUUGUGUCACUGUGGCUUUGAAUGGGCUACUUUGGUCCUCUGAUGGGCUGUGGUUCUCUGUGUGAUGAUUUUGCAGUGCGCUGUGGCUUGGAGUGUGUGGUACUUCUCUGUUUGGGCUGUGGUUCUGACUCUGUGGUAAUACUCUCAGUAGACAGUGGUUGAUUCUGUGGUGAUAUUCCUGGUUGGCUGUGGUUUUGAGGAUGCCGUGAUUAUCAGCUGGCUGUGGUGGUGGUUCUGAUGUUGUGAUGGUAUACUGUGGUGGUGGUUUUGGCUGUGUGGUAAUAUUUCUGUAGGAUGUUUUGGUUUGGGUUGUGUGGUCCUGGCAGCCAGGCCCAGGUUGGGUUUGACCUUAGUGAAGUGUCUCCUCCUGGUCUGUGAGGUCAUCUGCUGCUUUGGACACUUCUGACAUAAUUCCACAUGAGAGCGUGUCCAAAAACAGUUCCCUCCCCAUGUCUGAGAGGCUCCUCCUCUGCAGGUUGGUUUUCCUGAGUUGGCGCGUCACUGCUCUGAGGCACUUGGGCAGAAGUCGUGGUGACUCGGACCGAGCUGUUCUCGUGGUUAUUAGGACAGAGUCUGUUGUCGUGGUGACUGGGACAGAGGCAGUUGUUGUGGUGACUGGGACAGAGGCUGUUGUUGUGGUGACUGGAAUACAGGCGGUUGUCCUGGUGACUCGGACAGAGGCUGUUGUCGUAGUGACUGGGACAGAGGCUAUUUUUGUUGUCCUGGUGACAGGGACAGAGGCUGUUGUCGUGGUGACAGGGACAGAGGCUGUUGUCGUGGUGAUUGGGACAGAGGCUGUUGUCGUGGUGAUUGGGACAGGGCUUGUCAUUGUGGUGACUGGGACAGAGGCGUGUUAAACAGAGGCGUUGUUACGUUAAAGCCUGUUCUAAAAUGGAUACAAAAAAAUAUAUAAAACAAUCUUCAAUCUACACACAAUACCCCAUAAUGACAAAGCAAAAACAGUUCCGAUUCUUUUCUCUCACAUAUAUUACAAAUAAUAAACAGAAAUACCUUACUUAACAACGUGCCUUGCGAAAGUAUUCGCCCCCUUGAACUUUGCGACCUUUUGCCACAUUUCAGGCUUCAAACAUAAAGAUAUAAAACUGUAUUUUUUUGUGAAGAU